UCCAGGGAUUAAUUAUUUUGGUUCAUCACAGUAUUGUGUGAAGUGCUUACUCUUGCUUUCCAUUACCUUGUUUCUUGGAUUCUAAACUUCCUUGCUGUCAACUCAACUUGUUGAAUUCAUUCAACUUCACAGUAUACUAUCAUAUUUUAUGCAAAUCUCUCUCAUGUUGAAUUAGCUUGUAAAAAUCCAAUACUGUCUAUCGAACAUUCCUGUGGCUAUCUCUUAGUUUGAGUUAAACUUGAAUAAUUUUGUCUAUUAUUUCAGGAAGUGUUUUCUAUAGCUAUAUCACGUUAUAUGGAGCAACCUGAAAAGAAGGAAACGCUAUUGAAGUUGCUGCAAUGGAUGAUGGGUCAAGGGUAUGUUGUGGACUCGACAUCGAGAAAUCUAAUCCUCAAGAAUUCACAUCUGUUUGGACGCCACCUCAUUGCUGAAAUAUUAUCAAAACAGCAUAAAAUGUCAAAAGUACUAAGAACUCAGUAGAUGAUGGUUGCAUGAGUUUUGAGAGUGCAGUAGUGGCUGAAGUCAUCUUUGGCAGGGUCUGAGGGGCUGUCCUGAUAAAAAUUAUUCACAGUUACACCUCCUAUUAAGCAUCCAGAUCUUCUGUCCGGCAAUUUCUCAUUUAUCAUAGCAUGAUUAAAAAGUGUGUGAUGUCAAGGUUAUAACAGUUGUACUUCCUUCAGGUAAAAGUUAUUUUAACAGCUAACAAUCUACUUACUCAAAUGACACAUUGUAUUUUCCAAUUUAAUGAUAUACUCUGGUAAAUUUUUCCAGCAA